rnacentral:rRNA from 1 species
GACGAACGCUGGCGGCGUGCUUAACACAUGCAAGUCGAACGGUGAAGGAAGAGCUUGCUCUUCCGGAUCAGUGGCGAACGGGUGAGUAACACGUGGGCAACCUGCCCCUGACUCUGGGAUAACUCCUCGAAAGAGGUGCUAAUACCGGAUACGACCACUUCGGACAUCCGAUGGUGGUGGAAAGUUUUUCGGUCAGGGAUGGGCCCGCGGCCUAUCAGCUAGUUGGUGGGGUAAUGGCCUACCAAGGCGACGACGGGUAGCCGGCCUGAGAGGGCGACCGGCCACACUGGGACUGAGACACGGCCCAGACUCCUACGGGAGGCAGCAGUGGGGAAUAUUGCGCAAUGGGCGAAAGCCUGACGCAGCGACGCCGCGUGAGGGAUGAAGGCCUUCGGUUGUAACCUCUUUCUAGCAGGACGAAGCGAAAGUGACGGUACCUGCAGAAGAAGACACCGGCUAACUACGUGCCAGCAGCCGCGGUAAU